CUUCUUUCUCUACAGCCUCUCCGAUCAACAGCUUUACGUGUGCUGCCACCUUGUGGAUGAUUUGAAUAACUGAAAUCAGAAGAGGCGAGAGGAGACACGUCUGGAAAAUGUCUAGGCCUGUAAUCUUGGUUUGUUUCAUUGUGGUCUUGUGACUGGAUCAGAGGCGUCUCAGGGCACGUGACCGACAGCUACCAGCUAAAUGUUUGUGUCUGUAAGCAAGGACAACUUGGCAGCCAACCAGUAA